UCAUCGAAUCUUUGAACGCACCUUGCGCCCCUUGGCAUUCCGAGGGGCACACCCGUUU
rnacentral:rRNA from 1 species